CCUACGGGAGGCAGCAGUGGGGAAUAUUGCACAAUGGGGGAAACCCUGAUGCAGCAACGCCGCGUGAGUGAUGACGGUCUUCGGAUUGUAAAGCUCUGUCUUUGGGGACGAUAAUGACGGUACCCAAGGAGGAAGCCACGGCUAACUACGUGCCAGCAGCCGCGGUAAU
rnacentral:rRNA from 1 species